AUUGAACGCUGGCGGCAGGCCUAACACAUGCAAGUCGAGCGGGGUUUUCGGACCUAGCGGCGGACGGGUGAGUAAUGCGUAGGAAGCUGCCCGAUAGAGGGGGAUACCAGUUGGAAACGACUGUUAAUACCGCAUAAUGUCUACGGACCAAAGUGUGGGACCUUCGGGCCACAUGCUAUCGGAUGCGCCUACGUGGGAUUAGCUAGUGGGUGAGGUAAUGGCUCACCAAGGCGACGAUCUCUAGCUGGUUUGAGAGGAUGAUCAGCCACACUGGAACUGAGACACGGUCCAGAGUCCUACGGGAGGCAGCAGUGGGGAAUAUUGGACAAUGGGCGCAAGCCUGAUCCAGCCAUGCCGCGUGUGUGAAGAAGGCCUUCGGGUUGUAAAGCACUUUCAGCGAGGAGGAAGGGGUUGUAGUUAAUAGCUGCAACCUUUGACGUUACUCGCAGAAGAAGCACCGGCUAACUCUGUGCCAGCAGCCGCCGUAAGAC
rnacentral:rRNA from 1 species